rnacentral:rRNA from 1 species
UACAGAGGUCCCAAGCGUUGUUCGGAUUCACUGGGCGUAAAGGGUGCGUAGGCGGUCGGGUAUGUCUGAUGUGAAAUCUCACAGCUUAACUGUGAAACUGCAUUGGAUACUAUCCGGCUCGAGGAAUGGAGGGGAGACUGGAAUACUUGGUGUAGCAGUGAAAUGCGUAGAUAUCAAGUGGAACACCAGUGGCGAAGGCGAGUCUCUGGACAUUUCCUGACGCUGAGAGACGAAAGCUAGGGGAGCGAAUGGG